UACGUAGGGGGCAAGCGUUGUCCGGAUUUAUUGGCGUAAAGAGCGUGUAGGCGGCCUGAAAGGUCAGCUGUGAAACUCGAGGCUCAACCUCGAGACGUCGGUUGAAACCAUCUGGCUAGAGUCCGGAAGAGGAGAGUGGAAUUCCCGGUGUAGCGGUGAAAUGCGCAGAUAUCAGGAGGAACACCGGUGGCGAAGGCGGGUCUCUGGGCAACAACUGACGCUGGAGGAGCGAAAGCGUGGGGAGCGAACAGGAUUAG
rnacentral:rRNA from 1 species